AAGUAGAUAGGUUAAAUUAAACCUUUGGACUCAUACUCCUUUUAUAGUGGCCCACCCGCUUCUGCUUA
rnacentral:tRNA from 1 species